UACGAAGGGGGCUAGCGUUGUUCGGAAUCACUGGGCGUAAAGCGCACGUAGGCGGAUUAUUAAGUCGGAGGUGAAAUCCCAGGGCUCAACCUUGGAACUGCCUUCGAUACUGGUAAUCUCGAGUUUGGAAGAGGUUGGUGGAACUGCGAGUGUAGAGGUGAAAUUCGUAGAUAUUCGCAAGAACACCGGUGGCGAAGGCGGCCAACUGGUCCAAUACUGACGCUGAGGUGCGAAAGCGUGGGGAGCAAACAGG
rnacentral:rRNA from 1 species